rnacentral:rRNA from 1 species
UACGUAGGGGGCUAGCGUUGUCCGGAAUCAUUGGGCGUAAAGCGCACGUAGGCGGCUUUCUAAGUCGGGGGUGAAAUCCUGGAGCUCAACUCCAGAACUGCCUUCGAUACUGGAGAGCUCGAGUCCGGGAGAGGUGAGUGGAACUGCGAGUGUAGAGGUGAAAUUCGUAGAUAUUCGCAAGAACACCAGUGGCGAAGGCGGCUCACUGGCCCGGUACUGACGCUGAGGUGCGAAAGCGUGGGGAGCAAACAGG